GCCCAGGUGGUAGAGGUGGUAGAGCAUGGGCCUCUUUAUCUCAGGAUCAUGGGUUUGAACCCCAUGCUGGACA